UUAACUUGUCUAUACUCAGAAAAACAUGUAUAAGAAUAUACAUUGAUAAACUCCUUUAGUAUAAAAGCAUUUACAUUGUACAUAACAAAUGUAGUAAUAUUUGAAAUUUGCGAGUAAAGUGGGCAUGAGUAAAAGAUUAUUUGUGAAGUAAAAAUUAUUGUUAUAUGCAGACGCCUGUCUCUUCUCCGACAAAUAUAGUCGCAGAAAUAAUUAAAACAUCACUCUGUAUGUUUAAACAAAUUUGCAUUUUUGAAAUUACAGUUUGCUUGUGGUUCUGGCUGGCAGGAGGCUGCGCUGACUAGCAGGCAGCUUCCGAGUGAAAGAUUUCUAAGACAGCAGCACACAAGAAUAUGGUGAAGCAGGAGACACUGGGAACGACCAGAAACCAGCCAGGUACUCCUGCUUCUCCUUCGCCAGCUGCAGUCCUUGUGCCUCCAAACUCUCGAUCAUAGCCUCACCCAACAGUGAAUUCAUCCAGGUGCUUUCAGGUUCAAACAAUAAGCAAGUCCAAAGAGAGAGAAGGAAAGCAAGGUCAAACACCAACGUAAAAACGUGCUUUUCCCUGCUUUGUUUAACCCUUUAUACUCCAUUUCUGAUUAAAAAAAUAUAUAGUGUUGAUAUCAGUAUAACUUCAUGGUUCCCCCUCACACAACUACAGAAAAGUCAGAAAUAUAUGAACACUGGACCAUAUUCUGAACAUAAUGAACUGCAUUUGCACGAUUCAGGACAGCACUGUAUGAAAUGCUGUGUGGUGGUCACAGAAAACCAGUGUGCACUGAUGAAGUCUCCCAGACUGAUAUCUAGUGUCAUACGAGACUCGGGUUCGAUGCCUCUCAGCAGUCCUGUCUUUCUGUACACCACCAUCGAUCGGCUGUGCAUUAGCUUAGCAGACUCACACUUUGCUCGAUUCCUGCAGCUGCUUCACCCACUGACUCUGCUCCAGCUCUGAUUCGGCUGCCAGGACGAUGUUGCCCUAUUAUAAAAGCCAAGAAAAGCUUUUCCUUUGUCUUCCUCCGAUGCAUAGCAAUUUAUUGCAUUAUUGUACUUACUUGUUUUCAUAUCAUGAUAACUGCUAGAACUUACUGAGAAAUCCUGAUGCGUGAUUGUCAAGGCGAAGGGCAUUCCCUGUACGUCUUUAGAAUUUACCACGCAUCCUCCCAAAGGGAGAACUCCCUGAAAAGCAGGUUUAUGAAUGAGAGAAACCUAGAGGUAUCUAAUUGCAUAUACAAACAAGCCAUGGCUUACAGUAUAUACAGAUACAGACAUUCCCACAAUUCCCUUGCUAUUAUGUCGCCUCUGGCCUGCUCACUGGGGGCUUUGAGACAAUGUUAUGUUGUGAAAAUGCGCUAUACAAAUAAAAAUUUAUUUUUAAUUGAAA